UACGAAGGGGGCUAGCGUUGUUCGGAAUUACUGGCGUAAAGCGCACGUAGGCGGGUUGUUAAGUCAGGGGUGAAAUCCUGGAGCUCAACUCCAGAACUGCCUUUGAUACUGGCAACCUAGAGACUGGAAGAGGUUAGUGGAAUUCCCAGUGUAGAGGUGAAAUUCGUAGAUAUUGGGAAGAACACCAGCGGCGAAGGCGGCUAACUGGUCCAGCACUGACGCUGAGGUGCGAAAGCGUGGGGAGCAAACAGG
rnacentral:rRNA from 1 species